CAGCAAAGCAAUUUCUGUUGAUUAGUCUGAGUAAUAGUCUGGCUUCGCAUGUUUUUCUCUUUUGCAGAAUUCCCACUGCUCUUCUCUAUCCAACAGAGACCAACAGCAAAUGCCAAGAUAUUCAGCCCUUUCCUUUCCUCCUCGUUCGAAACCAAAGGAGGGCCAUACCUUCUACUACUUACUGAAGUCUUCAAGGAAGUCUGGUGGUCAGAAGGCACAGCCCACCCGCCUCCAAAAGAUCUGAGUUUCCAGGGACCCGACUGUGACAUUUUUCAGUGCAAAAACAAUGUCAGUGUAUCCUUAUUAAAAAUAAAAUAUGCACAAAAACAA